AAUAUAGACUAGUCUACACCUUGAAUGCACCUGAUCUCAUCUGAUCUCAGAAGCUAGCUAAGCAGGGUUAGGCCUGGUUAGUACUUGGAUGGGAAAAACAGAGAACAUAUAUUA
rnacentral:rRNA from 1 species